rnacentral:antisense_RNA from 1 species
GGGGCUUCCCCCUUUCACAGGGCACUCAUCCUUCUCUUGCCUGCUGCCAUGUGAAGAAGGAUGUGUUUGCUUCCCUUUUCGCCAUGAUUAUAAGUUUCCUGAGGCCUUCCUAGCUACUCAGAACUGAAAAUGAAUUUCAUACUCCAGUAGUGUUACCAAACUACAUUUACCCAUCAUGGUAGCCUAAGCCAGGAAGUGGAGAAAAGAGAAGGAUGUCAUUAAGUGGAAAAUAAUCAGCAAUCUAUUGUUGAUGGCAGCGACAGCCCAUCCAGAGUGGCUGCUGUGAAAAAGCUGGCUGCAGCGGGGGAGGUGCGGCCGGGGUUGCACACUCCAUGGGGCCAGAGGGAGCCCAGAACAGGGGGAGCCCAGAACAGGGGAAGCCCAGAACAGGGGGAGCCCACCGAGUUUGCGGCAGGAGCCCACGCUCUCGGUCAGGAUGCAGCCACCCAGCCACAGCUCCAAACCCAGGUAAGCCCCUCCACCUGCAGGCUCAGAAGUGCCUGUUCCCACUCCCUGGCCUAUCCCCACUCUCGGCGCCCCCUCCGGUGUGGAGCAAAGUUGAGGCCGGGCCCAGGUGCUGUCGCAGCACAGCAGAGUGUGCACGUGCUCGGGGUAGGAAUGACAUGCCAGCCCCCUGCUGCCUCAGCCCCCUUUGGACUUUGGGCGCUGACGGGUGUGGAAGAGGGGCCGGGGGAGUGGCUGAGGGCAGCUCUGCCUGGGUCUGCAGGUAACCCUCAGCACAAACAGCGUGGGCGCAUGGACUACAUGUUGACGUCAGGAGGGACACUGGUUACUGGGCAGAAAGGGGCGGGUUUCCGGAGUAAUCUCACCUUCAAACCAGGGAGGGCCUGAAGCCUGGGGCCAGGCUGCCAGUUCCAGACAGAAUCUACCUCAGAAAGUGAGAAUUUAUCAUGCUUUUUCCGAGCCCACCCAUGGCCCCCCAUGGACCAAUCAACGUGCACUUCCUCCCUCCUGAGUCCAUAAAAACCACGGGACCCAGCCAGACUCACACAGAUGUCAGGACUAUCAGCUGCAAAAAGGAGCUACCCACUUCGGAUGUCCUAAACUUGUCAAGACAAUCUGCCUGCAGAAAUUGGCUACCCAUUUCUGGUCUCCUGAUAACUGUUCUGUCACUCAGUGAAGAUCCUCUCUGCCUUCUUCACCCUCCAGUUGUCCACAUACCUCAUUCUUCCCAGACAUGGGACAA